rnacentral:rRNA from 1 species
UACGUAGGGUGCAAGCGUUGUCCGGAUUUAUUGGGCGUAAAGAGCUCGUAGGCGGUCUGUCGCGUCGGAUGUGAAAACCCAGGGCUCAACCCUGGGCCUGCAUUCGAUACGGGCAGACUAGAGUGUGGCAGGGGAGACUGGAAUUCCCGGUGUAGCGGUGAAAUGCGCAGAUAUCAGGAGGAACACCGGUGGCGAAGGCGGGUCUCUGGGCAAAUACUGACGCUGAGGAGCGAAAGCGUGGGGAGCGAACAGG